GACGAACGCUGGCGGCGUGCUUAACACAUGCAAGUCGAACGGACAGACAGAGAGCUUGCUCUCUUGAAGUUAGUGGCGAACGGGUGAGUAACGCGUAAUCAACCUGCCCUUCAGAGGGGGAUAACAACGGGAAACCGUUGCUAAUACCGCGUACGAUUCAUGAACGGCAUCGUUUAUGAAUGAAAGGUGGCCUCUAUGUAUACGCUAUCGCUGAAGGAGGGGAUUGCGUCUGAUUAGCUAGUUGGAGGGGUAACGGCCCACCAAGGCAAUGAUCAGUAGCCGGUCUGAGAGGAUGAACGGCCAGAUUGGGACUGGGAGACGGCGCAAACUCCUACAGGAGGCAGCGGUGGGGAAUCGUCCGCAAUGGACGAAAGUCUGACGGAGCAACGCCGCGUGAGUGAUGAAGGUCUUCGGAUUGUAAAGCUCUGUUAAUCGGGACGAAAGAGUUCUGCGUGAAUAAUGCAGAAAAGUGACGGUACCGGAAUAGAAAGCCACGGCUAACUACGUGCCAGCCGCCGCCGUAA
rnacentral:rRNA from 1 species